UACGAAGGUGGCAAGCGUUGUUCGGAUUUACUGGGCGUACAGGGAGCGUAGGCGGUUGGAUAAGCCCUCCGUGAAAUCUCCAGGCUUAACCUGGAAAGUGCAGAGGGGACUGUUCAGCUAGAGGAUGGGAGAGGAGCGCGGAAUUCCCGGUGUAGCGGUGAAAUGCGUAGAGAUCGGGAGGAAGGCCGGUGGCGAAGGCGAGUCUCUGGGCUGAUACUGACGGCUGAUGCGCGAAAGCUAGGGGAGCAAACGGG
rnacentral:rRNA from 1 species